rnacentral:rRNA from 1 species
UACAGGGGGGGCAAGCGUUGUUCGGAAUUACUGGGCGUAAAGGGCUCGUAGGUGGCCAACUAAGUCAGACGUGAAAUCCCUCAGCUUAACUGGGGAACUGCGUCUGAUACUGGAUGGCUUGAGAUUGGGAGAGGGAUGCGGAAUUCCAGGUGUAGCGGUGAAAUGCGUAGAUAUCUGGAGGAACACCGGUGGCGAAGGCGGCAUCCUGGACCAACACUGACACUGAGGAGCGAAAGCCAGGGGAGCAAACGGG